CAGCUCCGCCGCCGCGACCCUCGCCCCCCUCGCCUCUGCCUCCGCCGGCCUCCCCCUCCCCCGCCUUCGACCGCCCCCUCCGGCAGCGACGCGCAUCACCUGGCUGCUCGUCCUCGCCGGUCCUUUGUUCUCCUUCGAUGGAUCGGACUGACUCUAACCUAGGGGUCAGGCGGUUCGAUCCACUGCGUCGCAUCUCCCUUCCGAGCAGCGGCGGCGGCAGCGGGCGCUCACGGAGACGAUGCUAGGUUCUCCGCCGGUGACCAGCCACGAAGAUCCCUGCCGCGCUCCACCGUCUCGUCGAGCCCAUCCACUCCGGCAGCUGCCCCAUUCCCCGCCGACUGCCCUGUGCCACCAGUGCCUUUUGCGUCAUCCUCGUCGGUGCCUUCGAGAGCUUCUACAGGUCGGUCUCCUCCCUGAACCAGCAGCUUACAGUUCAUGGUUGCGAUUGACCAAUUGUGAAGCUCCAUUAUUGGGUGGAGUCCUAUGCUAAUCCAGGGUGCUCACAAAUUCGACGUGCUGAAUAGUCUCAUUGGCUACUCAAUCAUGGGAGCUAAUAUUCAUCAUAUUUUCUAUUUCUGUCCAAUACUAGUAGUACCCAAGCUGCAGCUUCAGAGGGAGGAUCGCCUUGCUACAACCUUGCCUCCAGGUGGACCUACAUAUAAAGGAUGAGUCCUGGAUCUUAAUGUGCAGUACUGAACAAUCUGAGGAUGGGCAUUUGUUGAUGUUAACUACGGGGGAAUCUCGGGUCUUCUACUCAUUACAUAUGUGCAUUGCAAUGAACUAUAUAUUUGCAGUGAUGCUUAUUUUUUUUCAUACAAUACUUGAGCUGAGGCCAGUGUUUUAAAAAACGUUUUUAAACGUCGUUUAAUCUUGAUUAAAUGCUGAACGGUGGCCAAGCGUUGCAUUUAAUCACAGUGUCAUUUAAUCACAACACAUGUUUAAUCAUGUUCAAUCUACGUUUAAUCACAAAAAACUUUAAACCAUAGGCAAGCCUUCGCCUAGCGUCUAGCGUUUUUUAAAACCUUGGCUGAGGCAUUUGCAUUUAGUAUUUUUUGUGAUGUAGAUCAAUUUUAGUAUGCCUUUACUUCAAUUUUAGUCAAAUUGGGCCUCCGGUCAUGUACAACUACUUGUGAAUGCAGCUAUCUUUUUUCUUUUUUCCAUUAGAGGUUGCGGUAGUGCGUGAAUGUAACUAUAUACUCAUUAGAGGUGACUGUGAUCUGAGUGUAUGGAUGUAACUAUAUGUAUGCAUGUAUAAAAUAAAAGUAUAGAAUGUAUUUUGAUUUUUUUUGUU